UACAGAGGUCUCAAGCGUUGUUCGGAUUCAUUGGGCGUAAAGGGUGCGUAGGUGGCGCCAUAAGUCAGGUGUGAAAUCUCGGGGCUCAACCUCGAAACUGCACUUGAUACUGUGGUGCUGGAGUACUGGAGAGGAGAUUGGAAUUUACGGCGUAGCAGUGAAAUGCGUAGAUAUCGUAAGGAAGACCAGUGGCGAAGGCGAAUCUCUGGACAGUUACUGACACUGAGGCACGAAGGCCAGGGGAGCAAACGGG
rnacentral:rRNA from 1 species